AGGAAUAGUAGGGGGGC
rnacentral:tRNA from 2 species